CCCGGGAAACUCUCUCCAACAACAUUGUGUUUUUGUUUUCACUUUUGUUUUUCAAUGCCCAGUUCUUGGCAAGCUCUCACCUUUCUGUUCUGAGUCUUUGCACCUGUGCUUUUCUCUGCCUGGUAUUUCAUCUAGAUUCCUAGCCUUUCUGAUGCAUCCUAAGUCUCCGGUCAAGCCAUAUUUCCUCUGCGUGGCCUUUGCUGACUUCCCUGACCACCUCAGAUUUCCUUCCUACUAGCUGGCACCUGCAGCUCUUCCUUAGAGGACCGUUCUUGGGCACUGGAAGCCCACUUUGCUUACCUCUGCAGAGGCCAAGAAGAGCCUGGGAGCUCACAUUGUCCCAGGGCAGCUCUCAACCCAGGAGGACGCAUGUGGCCCUGGACAGGACCAGAAUAAUCCAGGGAAAGCUGGGUGGUCUGGAUGUUCUGCAGAGCAUCAUGCUGACCAAGUGUAUUCAUGGACCACGUUAAUUGGAUCUGAUGAGCAGGAAGUGGCAAGAAUUUUGAGUGACCUGGAAUACAUGCUCCAGAGGGUGAGAGACGACCUCUGCAGAAUGUUCGAAUCCUGCCACGUUGGUAAAAUGAUGAGUGGUCUAAGGCACGUCUACGCUGUUGAAACUUUCCCUACAAGCUGUGGCCCUGGGAAGGAGGCUCUGCACCUGUUUUUUCAUCUAUGACAGGCGGGUAAACCACCUACCUCAGAAGGAGUUGUAAGUAAAUAACUAAAAGAUGUUUAACAUCGGUCCUGGCGUGGACUAAGUGCUCACUAAAUGGAGUCUCUUAUUAUUGUUGCUGUGGCUAUUAAUAUUAAUAGAGAAGGGUAAUUCUCCAUUCACACUGAGAGAGAAGAGUUUCUUUCAUCAGACCUUCGAGUUUCUGUAAGACCACGAGAAGAUAGGCUGGGGUAUACAGGCAACUUCUGUCGACAAUGGGGUGGGAGCAGAAGAGCAGCAGAGUGGAGCCCCUACCCAUCGUGGUGUCAAUCAUUCUGUGCCAUAGCUGCCCCCUUCUCUACCUCUGCCCUCUGACUGUGAGCACCUUGAGGUCUCGGCCAUUAUUCCAUCUUUUGCAUGUUGCACCAGGCCAGGCACGCAGCAG
rnacentral:lncRNA from 1 species